rfam:Legionellales bacterium RIFCSPHIGHO2_12_FTLL_35_11 rifcsphigho2_12_scaffold_149929, whole genome shotgun sequence.
GAUGGUAGGUCCAUCGAAAUCGGCUGUCAGGAGCGGGUUUCAAACCACUCCAUGCGGCUGUUAUUAAGAGUAACGGUCAUAAGAAUUGGAGUAAAGCGUGAGUUUUAACUCAGCAGGU